AAGAGACAGCAGCAGCCGCGGUAAUACGGAGGGUGCAAGCGUUAAUCGGAAUUACUGGGCGUAAAGCGCACGCAGGCGGUCUGACAAGUCAGAUGUGAAAUCCCCGGGCUUAACCUGGGAACUGCAUUUGAAACUGUCAGGCUGGAGUCUUGUAGAGGGGGGUAGAAUUCCAGGUGUAGCGGUGAAAUGCGUAGAGAUCUGGAGGAAUACCGGUGGCGAAGGCGGCCCCCUGGACAAAGACUGACGCUCAGGUGCGAAAGCGUGGGGAGCAAACAGGAUUAGAUACCCCUGUAGUCCCUGUCUCUUAUAC
rnacentral:rRNA from 1 species